GAGAAGCCUGUAGAAUCCCUGCCCAGAGCCACCCUGGAAACAAGAAGAGAGAUUUUUAAAAAAGAGAGCGUGUGCAGCGCGAGCUCCCAGCCAGGUCCCGCUGCCAGUGGUUGGGGCUGACCCUUGGGUUGAUCAGUAAUGCAUUCGUACAGGACACAUGCAUCCAGCCUGCACGGAAGGGACAGAUUCCCUUGUCCAAAGUCUCAUUACGCACGUUCCUGCUGACGCUGUUGCUGCCCCUUGAAAUAGGCUCCCCUCCUGUUCCUGCGGCGAGACCCUGUGUCCCUCUUUGCAGCCGAGCCGAGCUUCACCUGUACGCCUUCCAUCCAUUAAUGGAGCUCCGUGCCUGGUGUUCUGCAGCAGGAAGGCAGUGAAAGUCCCACCUCUUGUGCGCUCCACCUGUAUACAUGUCCCCGCUCCAGACUUUCUUCUUCGCAUCCGAACGCCCUGGCCCGUGUGCCGGUGGAACCCGGCCAGCUCAGAGUGACGGCGCUCUGCCGUCAGGCUGGGCAACGGGAUGGGCAGAGCACUGGGACGGGGCCGAGUCUGUGUGAUGAACAGCGCGACGAGUCAGGAGCUCCCCACCCAGGCCCUGUGAGACGGUGGAGGGCUCUGUAAGGAAGCAUGUGACCUGGGCCAGACACCCCAGCGUAAGGAGGGGUGAGUUAUGCCUCUGCCUGCCUUAGGGAGCAGCCUGCUUCAUCUCUCUCUGUUUUUGAAUUCUUGUGUGUUAUCAUUUUGGAUUCUAUGAAAUAUAGUUAUGUUAUGGUGCAACCUU